AUUCCAGCUCCAAUAGCGUAUAUUAAAGUUGUUGCAGUUAAAAAGCUCGUAGUUGGAUUUCUGGUGGAAGUGACCGGUCUGUCCCUAGUGGAUGUGAACUUGUGUCUACUUUUGCCAUCCUUGGGGAGAGCGUGCCUGGCAUUAGGUUGUCGGGUUCGGGAUCCCCAUCCUUUACUGUGAAAAAAUUAGAGUGUUUAAAGCAGGCUUAUGCCAUUGAAUACAUUAGCAUGGAAUAAUAAGAUAGGACUUUGGUGGUCUAUUUUGUUGGUUUGCACACCAAGGUAAUGAUUAAUAGGGAUAGUUGGGGGUAUCCGUAUUUCGUAGUCAGAGGUGAAAUUCUUGGAUUUACGAAAGACGAACUACUGCGAGAGCAUUUACCAAGGACGUUUUCAUCA
rnacentral:rRNA from 1 species